GAUGAACGCUGGCGGCGUGCCUAAUACAUGCAAGUCGAGCGAACGGACGAGAAGCUUGCUUCUCUGAUGUUAGCGGCGGACGGGUGAGUAACACGUGGAUAACCUACCUAUAAGACUGGGAUAACUUCGGGAAACCGGAGCUAAUACCGGAUGAUAUUUUUAACCGCAUGGUUCAAAAGUGAAAGACGGUCUUGCUGUCACUUAUAGAUGGAUCCGCGCUGCAUUAGCUAGUUGGUAAGGUAACGGCUUACCAAGGCAACGAUGCAUAGCCGACCUGAGAGGGUGAUCGCCCACAUUGGAACUGGGACACGGUCCAGACUCCUACGGGAGGCAGCGGUAGGGAAUCUUCCGCAAUGGGCGAAAGCCUGCCGGAGCAACGCCGCGUGAGUGAUGAGGGUCUUCGGAUCUUAAAACUCUGUUAUUGGGGAAGAACAUAUUUGUAAGUAACUGUGCACAUCUUGACGGUACCUAAUCAGAAAGCCACGGCUAACUACGUG
rnacentral:rRNA from 1 species